ACUGCAUCGGCAUCCACAGUCGAUCGGUCAGCGUCAAAUCAGCAUCGAAUCAGCUCUCGCUGUCCGUUUCAGAAGCUUCCAGGGCUCAUGUGCAGCAUGGCGCGGAAAUGAUGCGAAGAAACACACACACACACAGUAACAUAAUUACCCCUUCGGACGGUGUGAAUUGAUAAGCACCCUACGCGAACGAUUUGUGGGUGCCCCGGGUUGGUUGUUACUCACCUGCGGGCGGUCCUAAGCCGAGCGAACAACAUGGAACGAACUAAUGAAAGUGAAACUCCAAACGAGACGUGCCUAACGGAAGGAACCGGAAAAAAAGCAGACCCUUUCCGGUUGCUUGCCUGCUCGUUCGCGAACAUCCAAAUUGGCGCCAGUGUGUGUACGAGCUGCUGCUGUCUUGCAAAGCCGACCAUGAAACCAACGGCAACGGUCGUAGCUAGCCGUUGCCAGGCUAAAUUAAAUCACUCCACUGUAACGAAUGUACAUAAAUUCCCUAGCCUUUUGGGGUGGAAAAUUACAACCGCAAACUAUUAAACCUAUUACGUGUGUGGCGCGGCGAACGGUGGUGCUGCACCGGAUUAUGUUCGCUGAUGCACUCAGUGUGACUGUCUGUGCGGUAAGAGGCCCACUGAGCGGUCGACUGAAGAAGCCUCACCUACAACACGUGCUUGCAUCUCGCGUGCAUCGGCAGAUGAGGAAAGCGACCGGUGCACUUGGAUUGAAAAGUUACUACCGUGAGCAGGUACUGUACUGUGGUGCUUUAGCACGAGUAACUUCAAGUACGUUAAAUUUCCUCGAAACAACUCUUUUAGUUCAAGAAGAAGAAAAACUCUUGUCGUAAUGCUUUCAUGCAACUGAUGACCCCCCUCCCCACAACACACGACAUGCAGCAGGCCCUUUUUUAGUUUGACCGCUUACAAGCCUAUUAUGCAACCUCGGUUUUUCUCUGCUCUUUACCUCACCGAAUGCAUGAACCAUGCCAUGCCAUGAUGUUGUUUUACGAUGUACAGCAUCUCCAUUUAGUAAUGUAACCGUUUCGAGGUUUUUUGUUUGGUUGCCCUGCGAAAACUUCCUUUUUUUACAUUUCCAUUUAAGACAGAUCCAUCCAUUGACAGCUAAGGAGAGCACAUGCUAGUGGACAGAUACCUACAGCGAUGUGCGGUUCAAAGUAAUAACAAUAAUUAUUCCAUCUGGACCAGCAUAUUGUUUUAAAUAUGUGACCACUUCUAUCUCUAUCGUACUUCAUCCGUACCAAAUAUAAACACCAUCACCUUAUCUUUACAGACGGCUCCGUUCAUUGUGAAUCAGCUGGCUGUGGGAUCUAUUUUAGCCUCGAUAACUGCGCCAUCAAACUUCCUGACCACACAUCCAUCUUUUUUGCCGAAGCAUUAGCCAUCCGACUUGCCGCUGACGAAGGACUACGCACCGACAUACCGAACGUCAUCCUCACCGACAGUGCCAGUGUGCUGGCAGCCCUCGAACACGGCACCUCCAAAGA